UACAGAGGUCCCAAGCGUUGUUCGGAUUCACUGGGCGUAAAGGGUGCGCAGGUGGUCGGGUAAGUCUGAUGUGAAAUCCCGCAGCUUAACCUCGAGAUGUCAUCGGAAACCAUUUGGCUAGAGUCCGGAAGAGGAAAGUGGAAUUCCUGGUGUAGCGGUGAAAUGCGCAGAUAUCAGGAAGAACACCAAUGGCGAAAGCAGCUUUCUGGGACGGUACUGACGCUGAGACGCGAAAGCGUGGGGAGCGAACAGG
rnacentral:rRNA from 1 species